rnacentral:lncRNA from 1 species
GUGGGAUGUAUUGUCAUUCUCAAUGACAAACUCAUAUCUGAGUGGUAUAUUAUGUACUUUAUUCGACCUUCGAAGAGGAGGUGUGUGUGUGUUGGCUAUGCCUCAACAAUGGGCACAUCUGGUUGAGAACUAUUUUAUGAAUCUUGGAUAGAUUGUAGGUUUUAAACUUCCCUAAGUUCGAUAGACCUCCCACUGCCUCCUUCUUGGAUAAACUCUUUCUCCAAGAAAAUAGCAUGCCUACCAACAAAUAUCUUUUGUUAAGUAGGAUUAUAAUAGUAGUAUCC